CUCGAUGUCGGUUAGCGGUCUAUACCACUUGCUUUGGGAGCAAGAUUGCGCUGGUUCGAAUCCAGCCAUCGAGACCA
rnacentral:tRNA from 1 species